AAGAGUGCCCAGCUUUUUGCAGUCGCUACCUGAAUAUAUGUUUUUAUUUUAUUUUCUAAAGCUGUUCUCAUUAUUUUUUCAUUAGUUACGCUGAGGAGUUAUAAGUGUCAGUGACGCCAGGGGCCAUUGCACCCUCCCACUUUUGGGGAAUUUUUAUAGUUAGUGCAAUAACAAUAAAAAAUAUUAAAAUUGAAAAUAUUUCCAUUUUUAUUAAAUGUUGUUCGUUUAAAUUUUCUCCCUUCAUAAGAAUUUUAAAUCCAAAAUUUAUUCAAAAAAUGCUUGGUUAUUCGUUCAAAUAUUAACUCUAAAACUUAAAAAGUUUAUUGACUCUUCAAAAAAUCAAAUUUGGCAUUUAUUAAAAAACAAAAACAUUCAGACAAAAUUUAAAAUAAAAGUACAACGGCACUGCCCACACCAACAGAAAAACAAAUCUCCAGACACCACUGAUGACGUCACUAUAUAUCAUUUGACACCCUCCUCCCAAGCAAAUACAUUCCGGAGUCGGUAGUCCGUGUUGGACUCGGAGUGAAAUUGAGGACCGAAAACGGAGUAAUUCCUGCCUACAUCAUUCCUGGAUACGGAGUGGGUUUCCAUCUUAGAUGAAGUAAGAAUAAAUAAAUGAAGUAUAAAUAAGGUGCGUCGAUAAGAAACUUACAACGCAGUCUGGUUGACGUUGUCUCACAAGUUUUUGGAUGACGUCAUAACGGAGCCAAGUUCAAUACAAAAGUUGUGAACUGCGUGGAAAUACAUUUAAUUCAAAGUGAUUGGGAUGGAUCUUUCGUACGAAUGAUUUGGAUAUAUUAAUAUGCAUCCACUCAUCCUCUCCGUUUCUAGGAAUUCAUGUUUUUUUCCAUUCGGAUACAGGAUAUCCAAUACUUCUUCUGAUCCUCUCUUUAACUUCAUAUUAAAGGGAUCUCAACUCUUAGUCUUGUGUCUCACUCGGUGGAUCCCAUCUCCUUUAAUGGAAGAAUCCUACAUUGUGCAAAUGCGCUUCACAUCAAAGUCACAGAAUAGUGAAUCAUUGCUUCUAUCCUCAAGAGUAAAUAAAUUCCUCGAGAUCUUUUACGAAAUCAUUGUAUACUUCUACAUAUAAGAACUAUGGAGUUCCAUAAAACUACAGGAUAAUCGACUGAAAGAUCAACUCUGCUUCGUCUCAUAGUCUAAGAAAACUAUUUCAUUCAUAAGUGUCCUUGAUGAAUAUAAUGCAGAAAUAUAUGGUCUAUACGGAUAGUUAUUUAACAUGGAAACUUUAAGCCUCACCCCUGAUAAGUGAUUUCUUUAUUACUUGCGAAUCCCUUUUUUGAUAAGGAAACUAGUGGAAGAUUAUUCUACACUUUAAAGAUAAUGUUCCUCUCUUUUCUCGAUAGUUUAUUCUAUUCUGCUAGUACAUAUUAUAAAAAGUUAUUGCGAACUAUUAAGUGAUUAUGUGUUAAAAAAUAUAAGUGACUUCUUAA
rnacentral:lncRNA from 1 species